CUUGAGCACGUAGGUGGGUUUGUAAGUCAGGUGUGAAAGCCUUCUGUUCAACGGGAGAAUUGCAUCUGAAACUACGAAUCUUGAGUGUAGGAGGGGAGAAUGGAACUUCUGGUGGAGCGGUGAAAUGCGUAGAUAUCAGAAGGAACGCCGGCGGCGAAAGCGAUUCUCUGGCCUAUUACUGACACUCAGUGUGCGAAAGCUAGGGGAGCAAACGGGAUUAGAUACCCCGGUAGUCCUAGCCGUAAACGAUGGGCACUAAGUAGAGGGGAUUACCGACGUUCUCUCUGCCGUAGCUAACGCAUUAAGUGCCCCGCCUGGGGAGUACGGCCGCAAGGCUAAAACUCAAAAGAAUUGACGGGGGCUCGCACAAGCGGUGGAGCAUGUGGCUUAAUUCGAUGCAACGCGAAAAACCUUACCGGGGCUUGACAUGAUAGAAGUAGGAACCUGAAAGGGUAACGAACGGUAUCCAGUCCGUAGCUAUUACAGGUGUUGCAUGGCUGUCGUCAGCUCGUGUCGUGAGACGUUGGGUUAAGUCCCCUAACGAGCGAAACCCUUGUUUUUAGUUACCAGCGGGUUAUGCCGGGUACUCUAGAAAGACUGCCGUCGUCAAGACGGAGGAAGGUGGGGAUGACGUCAAGUCAUCAUGGCCCUUAUGCCCCGGGCUGCACACGUGCUACAAUGGUCGGUACAAACGGAAGCGAAGCCGAGAGGUGAAGCGAAUCCAAGC
rnacentral:rRNA from 1 species